AAAACUAUUGCGUUGCCUCACUUUGCCGCACUUCUUUAUUUCUCACCUCUUUUGCUAUUUCUUAUUCUUUGCUUGUUGCACACACACACACACACACGCUUGUUUGAAAACACAAGCGUAGCGUUUUAUAUCCGACUUUAGUUUCUUCACUCACGGUGCGCUCGUACGAUUAGUACCAUCGAGAUAUCGUUCAGAGAACACUUGUGCGCGUUUUAUGUACGUUCCACAGAGAUCUCAUUUUUGCGGAUUUUUGAUUCUCCUCCUUUUUUAAGAUGCACACUCGCGACGACUCUUCCGAGGACUAAAGAGGUCGGUUGAAAGGCGAACUUAUUCCUCCUGAGGAAUUACCGUCUGCUCGCGGGAGGGAAGAAGAGGGAGGCGCCGACCGAGAAUGGGUUGGUUGACCACUCUGAUGUAACAGAACAGAAAUUGUCUGCCGAUUGAUGCGCAUAAAUCAGGUGGUAUGGAGGGAAAAUUUAGCCGCAUUAAUGCAUACUAAUCGUCAUCGAUUGGAACGGAUCUUCCAAAAUCUAAGUAUAAAUAAUGAACAUCGAUUAAUUUCAUUAUUAUUUUAAACGUCGUUAAUAAGAUGGUCAAUUGUGAUGACGAUUGUGAAUACAGAAGUACUUAAAAUUUUCAUGAUAAAACGAAAUAGACUAUAAUUUUCGAGAAAUCAAUUGUUAUGUUACAAACUAUGUUUUUUUUUUACAUUUAAAUAUUGCGUUACCAUUGUGAUUUUUGAUUAAUCUGUGUUCAAAAGUUAAAAGAUAAUAAAAAGAAAUUAGAGAUAGCCUCUUAACUAUCUGAUAAACUCCGACGACAACAAUUGACAAAAGACAUUUCUACACACACCUGAGAAAGAAAUAUUGCAAUUUAAUCUGUUUUUGUUUCGAUUCGACACAAAUACGUUUAAACAGAGAU